UGUUAGACGCUGUCCACUAAGGAAUGCACCCCAGACAGAGGAAAAGAAACCAUGGGAAAGCCGGGCAGGAAGCCCUGGAGGAUGCAGUUGAGGAUAAGGUGACCCCCAGAAACAACUUCCCCUUCUAUGAAGAGCUGCCCGUACCAUCCUUUGAAGUCCAAACUACAUUGUCUUUCUGGGAUUUCUGCAGAUGAUUGACAGCUUCUCAUAAUGGAUAACUGGACAUCUGGAAUCUCAUGGAACUAAAAACUGUACAGCAAAGGAAGCAAGCGAGUGAAGACACGACCUAAAGGAUGGGAGGAAACACUGGCCAGCUAUUUAUCUGUCAGAGUGUUAGGAACUAGAAUAUGUCAAGAACUAAAACAAAUCAAGAAAACAAAAUGAUCAAAAGUAGAAAUGAAUGUUGGCUCUCAAAAUACAAAAGAAAGAAAAGAAGGAAGGGAGGGAAGGAUGGAGAGAGAUCGAGAGUGAGAGCGAGAGAGGAAGAAGAAGGAGAAGGAGAAGAAGAAGAGGAAGAGGAAGAGGAAGAAAGAAAAAAGGUUCCGAAGUACCGCAUGCUGGUGUAACCCAGCCCUUGUACCACCAGAUGCAAGGCAGAGACACCGUUUCCUGGAAGGUUAUGGGUGAGCCAGUUUGGAGUGCACAGCGUGACAGGAAUACCAGCAGAGACUCAGCCUUAACAAGGUGGAAUGAAAGAGCUGGCUCAGGAGACUUAUUCACUAACUACCACAUAUGCAUUAGAGCAUGCGAUGCCUCCCACAUAUCACCAAUAACACAACAACAACAACAGAGCUACCAUAUAGCACAGCUCUACUGUUCUUGGGAAUACCCCAAAGGACUCUCUAACCUGCUGCAGGGCUACCUGCACAUCAGUGUUCAUUGUUACUCUAUUCACAAUAGCUAGGGAAUAAAAUCAACCUAGGCAUUCAACAGCAGCUAGAUAAUGAAAAUGUAGUGUACCUACACCAUGGAAUUUUAUUUAACUGUAAAUAAAAAUAAAAUCAUUAAAUCUGCAGGA